rnacentral:rRNA from 1 species
GCUAUACAUGCAGUCGAGCGAUGACGAAGAGCUUGCUUCUUCUGAUUUAGCGGCGGACGGGUGAGUAACACGUGGGCAACCUGCCCUGUAGAUUGGGAUAACUCCGGGAAACCGGGGCUAAUACCGAAUAAUCCAUUUCCUCACAUGGGGAGAUGUUAAAAGACGGCAUCUCGCUGUCACUACAGGAUGGGCCCGCGGCGCAUUAGCUAGUUGGUGAGGUAACGGCUCACCAAGGCGACGAUGCGUAGCCGACCUGAGAGGGUGAUCGGCCACACUGGGACUGAGACACGGCCCAGACUCCUACGGGAGGCAGCAGUAGGGAAUCUUCCACAAUGGACGAAAGUCUGAUGGAGCAAUGCCGCGUGAGUGAAGAAGGUUUUCGGAUCGUAAAACUCUGUUGUGAGGGAAGAACAAGUACGAGAGUAACUGCUCGUACCUUGACGGUACCUCAUUAGAAAGCCACGGCUAACUACGUGCCAGCAGCCGCGGUAUACGUAGGUGGCAAGCGUUGUCCGGAAUUAUUGGCGUAAAGCGCGCGCAGGCG